CCUACGGGAGGCAGCAGUGGGGAAUCUUGCACAAUGGGCGAAAGCCUGAUGCAGCGACGCCGCGUGCGGGAUGAAGGCCUUCGGGUUGUAAACCGCUUUCAGCAGGGACGAGGCGAAAGUGACGGUACCUGCAGAAGAAGCCCCGGCUAACUACGUGCCAGCAGCCGCGGUAAUACGUAGGGGGCAAGCGUUAUCCGGAUUCAUUGGGCGUAAAGCGCUCGUAGGCGGUCUGUUAGGUCGGGAGUUAAAUCCGGGGGCUCAACCCCCGUUCGCUCCCGAUACCGGCAGACUUGAGUUUGGUAGGGGAAGGUGGAAUUCCUAGUGUAGCGGUGGAAUGCGCAGAUAUUAGGAAGAACACCAGUGGCGAAGGCGGCCUUCUGGGCCAUAACUGACGCUGAGGAGCGAAAGCUAGGGGAGCAAACAG
rnacentral:rRNA from 1 species